rnacentral:lncRNA from 1 species
AUGUAGUGUAUGGUAGAGAUUCAGUUUCUUUUUCUUUUUUUUCCACUUUGGACGUCCAGUGUCCUAAAAUCAUUCAUGAAGGGGUCCAUUUCCUGCACUGUGGUGCAGUGUCACCUUGCUGAUCUAUCCCCUUCCCCACAUGGGGGUCGGGGUGGGAGCAGGGAAGGCUCCCGGGAGGAGGAGGCUUGGGUUUUGUAAGAGGAGUAGGAGUUUGCCAGAUGGCCUGGAUGGAAACCCCUUCCACAUGUUCAUUCACCAACUCAUUCAUUCCUGUCACAAAAUUACAACAAAUUUAGUUUAAAGGCCUUAAUUGACUUUUGUUUGUUUGUUACUGGAGUCAAGUCCCAGAUCUCCUACUCAUUGACCCUGUGACGGCAGGCAAAUGACCUUACCUCUCUGAGACUCUCUUUCCUCAUCUGACCAAGGGCCAUACGGGGGUUUUUAUUCCAUUGGUAAUUCUCAGACACCUGGUCACCGAGCUGACACGAAGUAGUUGCUCAAUAAAUGAC